CUGCGCUUCGUCAUAUUCUCCCGGCUGCAAUGGACGCUAAGAUUGGGAAGUUCUUUGAUUCGGUCGGUGCCUUCUUCAGUGGCGGAGACCAAAUCCCUUGGUGUGAUGGGGACAUCAUCGCUGACUGAUGGCAUGAUAGUAUGGCUCCACUGGAAGGGUUGUCCAUUCCUCUUCCUCCAACUACUGGCUGUUAUGAUAAAGCUUCAAGUCCAUCUAUUCAUCCUUUCAGAACCUCGUCCAUCUCUGACUGGAGAAAAUCUAUUGCUCAUGAAAGUCUUAUGUUGCCUCAUUAAACUUUUCUAUCCUGAUCCGCCGUUGUUUCCCACCAAGCACCACAGACACUAUAUAAUAAAAGCACGGAUCGUCUUUUUUGGACUUGGUGGUGCCAAUGCAUUUCAUGAAUCAAUGAAUCAAAUGGUUGAGUUGUGAGGCUCAUUUGCACUAGGUAUAAUGGUCACCUCUCUCAAGUUUGAUUGUAAUUAUUGUGUUACCGAUUUCCUAAGGGCAAUUGCAUUGGUAUCUUCUCUGUAUUCUGUAUUUUAGUAAAUGUGUUUAAUGUAGGAAAGCUAGGCUGCAAGAGAACAAUGCUAAGUCACCUACAGCAGAUCAGAAUUUAGAAAUUACAACAUUUUAAGAAUUCAUGGACCUGUUGACACAAUUGAAGGGAGAUCCUUGAGGGUUGUUUAUAUGCCAAAAAUUUCUGAGAUCCUUGAGGGUUGUUUAUAUGCCAAAAAUUUCUGAAAAAUCUACUGAAAUAUCGCUGGACAGAAUAACACUUGAAGAACAAAAGAAAAGAAGAAGGGGAUGGGGACUAUCUCAGUCUAGGGUCUCUCACCCACAGCCUCUCACAGCCACUGCAUCUUACAGCUUCCAAGCCAAAGCUUUCUCCUUUUUUCUUAAGCUCAAAUAUGUUGGGGAAUAGUCCCCUUUCCUAUAUUUAUAAUAAUGGAACUCAAUUACAAAACCAAUGGGGAAGAACCUCCCAUACACAAGCCGUGGUAAAGCUGCCAAAGCCAAAACAAAUCCCUCAAAAGUAGAAACCAAAUAAAAUAGAAACUUCUACUUUCUAAAACUUAAGACUGGGGAUAGAAACUAAAUCUAACUAUUGCUAUUACAUGAAUAAGAACAAAGAAAAUAGAAAGUAGAUAGUGUCUAAAAAAAUCUCGGCAAUCAAUCUUCCUUGCAAGUUGGCAUGUGCCCCACAAAAUUCUGGAAAAAUCUUCGACAGUUCUCAUGUAAGCUGUCAAAUAUAUUCUUAAAAAUACUUCUGGUCUAUGGUUAUUCUGGGGCAGAAACAAAGCUGGACCAGUGGACUUUAUUAUAUUUGCAUCCAACACCUGGGCCACUUGGCUCUUUACAAAAACAACAACCGUAACUUUAUCCAAACUUAAUGGGGUCGGCUACACAGAUCCAAUACAUAUCAAAGUAAAAGAAAAGCAGAGUAAAAGAAGUGCAAACUGAACUAAAAGGCAAU